CCUACGGGUGGCAGCAGUGAGGAAUAUUGGUCAAUGGUCGGGAGCCUGAACCAGCCAAGCCGCGUGAGGGAGGAAGGUACAGAGUAUCGUAAACCUCUUUUGUCAGGGAACAAAGACUGGGACGCGUCCCCGGAUGAGUGUACCUGAAGAAAAAGCAUCGGCUAACUCCAUGCCAGCAGCGGCGGUAAGACGGGGGAUGCGAGCGUUAUCCGGUUUUAUUGGGUUUGACGGGUGCGCAGGCUGUCUGUUAUGUCAGAGGUCAAACCCCGGAGCUCAACCCCGGCGCGCCGUUGAUACUGGCAGUCUCGAGUUGGAGAGAGGUAUGCGGAAUGCGCGGUGUAGCGGUGAAAUGCAUAGCUAUCGCGCAGAACUCCGAUUGCGAAGGCAGCAUGCUGGCUCCACACUGACGCUGAGGCACGAAAGCGUGGGUAUCGAACAGGAUUAGAUACCCUUGUAGUC
rnacentral:rRNA from 1 species